AAGAAUCAGUGAGAAAAAGAAGAGGCAAAUCACUGGUAUGCACAUAGCUGCCUCUGCGGCGCUGUGCUCCAGGCCACACAACUUUAUGAAAGCUGUUGGAAGACCAUGGAGAAUGUAUAGCAUGGCCAUUACAAACAUGAGAAGGCUGGAGGAAAUCCAUGUCAGAAAGGGCGUAGGACGGAAUCCAGUAUUGCAACUCCUGGAGAGCUACUAUGGUUCUGGCGUACAUCUUCAUUGCUGUGGGGGUAUGCUGGGUGUCAGGGGGCUCUUCAGUCCAGCUGAGGAGCACUGCAAUAGCUUAUAGGUGGGCAUUAAAUUCGGUAAAUGAAAAGGAGAGACCCACAUUAGAUGGAGAGGAUGAUUAAUCCACAGAUCAUGUUCCUGUGAGCACCAGAUGGUUUUCAAUUCCUGGUACUUGCAGCAUAUUCUGCCUCAAAACUAGUUUGCUCUAUUUAUCUGCCUCAGCUUUUCUUAUUUUGUCAGAUAAGCCAUUUUGUCAUGUUAUUGUCAUCACAUUAGGACAAAGGCCAGGAAAGCUGUAGAAACUCAUCAUUAAGUUCCUCCUAGACAUUCAGGCCCAGGAGGAGCUUGCAAGCAUCUCAAACAUCCUUCAACUCUGGCAUUCCAGAUCCUACUCAUGCAACACUUGGAGACAAGGCAGAGCAUUCCAUAGAACUGAGCACUGAAGUGGGGAGACAAGACUGUCUCAGAGUGAUUGAACACCAGGUGACAGUGGGGACUGGAGCACCUGCUGCUGUGCACCGCAGUGUCACCAUGGAGCCAAAGGCAGCACAGCAAUGACUUAAAAUCUCCAUCAGAAAUUUUAAAGUAAACAGGAGAAAGAACCAAAGACUCCGAUGGUGCCAGUGUAAGCAACCAGGAGACAUAGGGAGAUGAAAGUGAGGAAGAGGAAGAACAAGAAAUGGCAAUAAAUGUUUGUAAUAUUCACAUUAUUUGCUGGGCUUAGGGCAUGGUUUUGUUCUCAUUUUACCUCAGAGUGAAAAUCCCCAGCAGAUUUCUGACACUUCCACUACAAGUCCUCCUUGUCCAGAUCCUCCCAAACAUGGUUCUUACCAGGACCUUCCCUCAUUUGGCAGUAUCAUCACAAGCUAUCAGCAUCCACACAGUGUCCUUAGAGGGGUGAGCAGGAUGAGAGAAGAGGGCUCUGUUUAUUUACUUUUAUAUUUCAGCAGAAAAUGAAACAGAGUACCUCACUCAGAGGAGCUGGAAAUGAAACCUUGCCAGCUCAAAGUCCAGCCAGCAUGCUCAGUUUCACUCCCAAGCCCCCUAAUAAAUGUCCUUUCUUUUACAGUCCUGCUAAAUGAUGUGCUGCAAGCCAUGGGGCUUGCUAGGAGGCAUCUGUACCACAGCCAGCUGCUUUCAUUUCUGAGAAUUAGGUAACAUCAUCCAGUCCAAACAGUAGGGCUUUAACCCAGUCACAAAAUUUUUUGUGCUAUAAAAAGAUUAAAGCAGUGUCCCCCUGGUUUGAGCAGCUAACUCUUUCCAGGUGACUUCACCCUCUCUCUGCCUUUGGCUGAGCUGUCUGUCAUUUCCACGAGAUUUUGGCCUGCUCAGGCCUGUUUUUCCAUGAAAGCUGGCUGGACUGGGUUGCUGGCAUCCAGCUGCAGCUCUGGUGGGCUGUGGCAUUCAGGGAAGGGCCAAGCCAUGCUCAGAGCCCCACAACCCACAGAAACCAUCAGCCUCAGCCCCAUCACGUCAGGACACCCAUAGUGUGUGAGUUUUGCAAGUCCUAAUGCUUGCUCUGGUGCAUUAGGCCCUGUCAAGCAUGGAUAUGUGAUGGAGCUCUCCUCUCACCUCCACUGGUGUUCACUGAGCCUUGGCUUCCAAAAGAACACAGUCAGUGCUUGCCAGUGUGUGUGAAUUCAGCCAGCUGGUGAGUGUGAACACAAGUUCACUCUUCAGGAGCUUGCUGCUGGUGCUGGUAUAUUGUAAAGUAUGCCUGAUAGUCCAAACUGA